rnacentral:rRNA from 1 species
AUUGAACGCUAGCGGCAUGCCUAACACAUGCAAGUCGAACGAGUGGCGGACGGGUGAGUAAUAUAUCGGAACGUGCCCGGUAGAGGGGGAUAACUACUGGAAAAGGUGGCUAAUACCGCAUACUAUUGGAUCGGCCGAGAUGGGAUUAGCUAGUAGGUGGGGUAACGGCUCACCGAGGCGACGCACCCUAGCUGGUUUGAGAGGAUGACCAGCCACACUGGAACUGAGACACGGUCCAGACUCCUCCGGGAGGCAGCAGUGGGGAAUAUUGCACAAUGGGCGCAACCCUGAUACAGCCAUGCCGCGUGUAUGAAGAAGGCCUUCGGGUUGUAAAGUACUUUCAGCGGGGAGGCGUUACUCGCAGAAGAAGCACCGGCUAACUCCGUGCCAGCAGCCGCGGUAAUUC